rnacentral:rRNA from 1 species
GAUGAACGCUGGCGGCGUGCCUAAUACAUGCAAGUCGAGCGAACGGACGAGAAGCUUUCUUCUCUGAUGUUAGCGGCGGACGGGUGAGUAACACGUUGAUAACCUACCUAUAAGACUGGGAUAACUUCGUGAAACCGGAGCUAAUACCGGUUAAUAUUUUGAACCGCAUUGUUCAAAAGUGUAAGACGGUCUUGCUUUCACUUAUAGAUGGAUCCGCGCUGCAUUAGCUAGUUGGUAAGGUAACGGCUUACCAAGGCAACGAUGCAUAGCCGACCUGAGAGGGUGAUCGGCCACACUGGAACUGAGACACGGUCCAGACUACUACGGGAGGCAGCAGUAGGGAAUCUUACGCAAUGGGCGAAAGCGUGAAGGAGCAAAGCCGCGUGAGUGAUGAAGGUCUGCGGAUCGUAAAACUCUGUUAUUAGGGAAGAACAUAUGUGUAAGUAACUGUGCACAUCUUGACGGUACCUAAUCAGAAAGCAACGGCUAACUACGUG